UCUCCGUUGGUGAACCAGCGGAGGGAUCAUUACUGAGCAUGUUGAAAAACCUGCUAAACCCAUGUGAACAUACCUGAAAGUUGCUUCGGCGGGCAGCCCCAGGGCGGGGCUGUGGCCUUUAUAGGUGCCCGCCGACAGCACCAAAGCUCGUUAUUUUCAGUUGCUCUGAGUAGUAAAACAAUAAGUAAAAACUUUCAACAACGGAUCUCUUGGCUUUGGCAUCGAUGAAGAACGCAGC
rnacentral:misc_RNA from 1 species